rnacentral:lncRNA from 1 species
UGGCGGUAAGCUUGGUAACUUUUCUGGAAACACAUCCAAAAAUUCAUAUACAGUCAGAAUCGUCUCUAAUUUAAUUUUUGAAACUCUAGAAUCAAAUAUGUAAGCUAGAUACGCUUCACCGCCCUUUCUAACAUAUUUAUGUGCCGUCAUAGCUGAAAUCACAUUAGCUGUACCUUUACUUCUAUCAGAUUCAACUUGAAUUACUU